AAUUCAUGCAUCGGACAUUUCUGAACCAAUUCCUUAAAUCUUUCCUAAGCUUCACACAACAUCUUACCAUCUGAUUGCCAAAAAGAUGUAAUGUCAUUUCUAAGCUU
rfam:Gossypium arboreum cultivar AKA8401 contig_38652_1, whole genome shotgun sequence.